UAUUAAUUACUUUGGCAGAUAAGUGUAAUGAAUUUAGAAUUCAUUAAUGUAAUAAUUUUUACAGGUAAUA
rnacentral:tRNA from 1 species